UACGAGGGGGGCAAGCGUUGUUCGGAAUUAUUGGGCGUAAAGGGCGCGUAGGCGGCAAUUCAAGUCAGUUGUGAAAUCUCCGAGCUUAACUCGGAACGGUCAACUGAUACUGCUUUGCUAGAGUACAGAAGGGGCAAUCGGAAUUCUUGGUGUAGCGGUGAAAUGCGUAGAUAUCAAGAGGAACACCUGAGGUGAAGACGGGUUGCUGGGCUGAUACUGACGCUGAGGCGCGAAAGCUAGGGUAGCAAACGGG
rnacentral:rRNA from 1 species